AACGAACGCUGACGGCAGGCUUAACACAUGCAAGUCGAACGCCCCGCAAGGGGAGUGGCAGACGGGUGAGUAACGCGUGGGAAUCUACCCAGUUCUACGGAACAACAGUUGGAAACGACUGCUAAUACCGUAUACGCCCUACGGGGGAAAGAUUUAUCGGAAUUGGAUGAGCCCGCGUAAGAUUAGCUAGUUGGUGGGGUAAUGGCCUACCAAGGCGACGAUCUUUAGCUGGUCUGAGAGGAUGAUCAGCCACACUGGGACUGAGACACGGCCCAGACUCCUACGGGAGGCAGCAGUGGGGAAUAUUGGACAAGGGGCGCAGGCCUGAUCCAGCCAUGCCGCGUGAGUGAUGAAGGCCUUAGGAUUGUAAAAUUCUUUCACCGGGGAAGAUAAUGACAGUACCGGGAGAAUAAGCCCCGGCUAACUACGUGCCAGCAGCCGCCGUAACA
rnacentral:rRNA from 1 species